rnacentral:lncRNA from 1 species
CCACAGCAGUUUAGUCUUCAUACGUUCUUCCGGAGACCAGAGAAAAUGUCUGUUCCCACAUUUCCAAAAGCACUUAGGGAGGGACGAUGCAGUCUGCCAGAAGUGGUUCUGCCUUUGGGACUGAGUCCCCUUCUGGGACAUUUUUAGAACUUCCGCCCGCCAUGUGUGAGGGCGGGUGGUGAAGUUCUGGUGGCCGGUUCUGAGGAGCUCACGUGACUCACUGCUGUGCCUUCUGUGGGUCUCCAGCUGCGCCCUUGACUUGCAUCAUUAGCUGUCCUCAUCCAAGAGGUCUGAAGAUUCAUCAGACUAGAAUUAAGAAGACUGGUCUAUUUAAAACUUGUUCGUCAAGCAACGUGCUCAUCACAAGCUUCUCUAAAUGGAUGGUACAUCAAAAGACAUUUAUUUGAACAAAUUUAUUUGGAGAAAAAUUCUCUUUGGGAAUUUGGAAAUAAUUAGAUUUAGGUGUUAGGUAUCUUGGGAAUCUUAAUUUUGGGGAUAAAAUUUUCCAUUUCUUGGAAAGAAUGUGGCUAAAAGGCACAAAUUAUUUGUGAUUUCACCCAUGGAGGAAAAAUGCAAAAUGCACUAAAUUAUCUCAAAUGUUUUCUUGGCAUGGAGACAAAAAUCUAGAUAUGUUUAAGCAUCUGGAUGACCAAGAGAACUAUUCAUCUCCGUUGCAAUUAUUCAUAUUAUUCUGUCCUUUCACCACGAUUUCUAAUCACAUCAGGAGCUCAAGGCAAAGGGACAAAAUUUGGUUAACAGACAUUUUUAUGUAAUUACGGUGGGGGUAAUGUGCCUUAGGAAGGGGAGAAGACAGAAGAGGUCUUGUCUGGGAGGUUCAGUAAUUGAGAAUGAAUGGAAUACUGAAAGCAGAUUUUUUUCCUAGAGCAAGUCAUGUCCAUAUAAACUAUGUAAGUUAUUUUCUAGCCUGCUUCUACUUUUUUAUAUACUGCCAUGACUUGCAUUUUGUGUCAGGGCACAAGAAUUUUUAAAAAUACUUGGUGUUCAAGACCUUAUUCUUGAAUUCUUACUGCUGUGCCUCGACCCUGACAUACCCUGUCUCUCUUUUUGAAACAGUUUUCUGUUUUUGUUCCUCUUUCUAAUAUUGGACUGUUGAUAUUCAGACUCCUCCUACUCCACCAUUUUUAUUUCAGUUUGGUCUCCAUACUUCCGACUUUAAAAACAUUUUUUUACCGUGGAUUUCUGCUUUUGGUUUAAUUAUUCCAUGAACAACUCUGUGAGUAAUGAUGCUUGUUUGCUUGUUUUGGUCGGGACCGAAGCCAUGUCUCACUGUGUGUUGCACACACAGGCAGUUCCAUGGGCAAGGCCUGGCCCUGAGCUGGGCCCAGGAAUGGAUUGCACAGUGGUUUUAAACCCACCACAAGCCAUUCCCAGUUUGGGUUGGCAAAAACUUGUUCCAGGAGAUGAGCUACACCCGUGGUCUGACUUUCACAUGUUAACAAUUAUUUGCAGAGGAAACUUGCCCUAAGAUGUGGUGCAAAUAAUACUAAUCUAUGUCAAUCUUGGAAAAAAUAACUCUACUUGUACACUGGACUGAAUAUAGGUCAGUUGUCGAAAUUUUGGCAUUAAGACAAUUGACAACUGAGCAUUCAGACAAUUUGAAAAUGGAGCAAAUUCCAAACUCUAAAUUAUUAUUUUCUGAGCUAAAAAGGUAAGAUGCAUAUUAAAGCACUUCCCUGAUUGAUAUAAGGAAGUGACAUUGAUUCUAGGAGAAAGAGAAGACCGUCUUCCAGAGGCACUGGAUGUGCUAAGUGCUUAGAUGUACAUGUGGUAUAACUUAGCAUUCAUGACCUUAAUUUCUACAGUUUUCUGCCAGUGACUAUCUGUCACAUGUAGUAAUUAAAAGUUUUAAAUAAUAUGCUGGAGAGAAUCACCCAGCUCUGAAGAGUCUGGGCCAUUUCCCAGUCUAGGCAGCUUAAGUACCCACGAGAAAAUAAGUUCUAUGAGGACACAAACUGAUUCUUUUUCAUGAUUUUAUCCCUGGCACCCAUCACAGUGUUUAACAUGAUAAAUACCUGCUGAAUAAAAAAGAAUUCUGAUGUUGCUGCUUAUUGCUUGCCACCAUAUAAUUCUUGUCAAGUAAUACACUCUCUGUUGUAAAAAUGACCUCGAGGUAAGGGGUAAAACUUGCUAAAAUCAAUUAACUUUUGUUGUGAAAUUGCUCAGGAAAUGCUGAAGAUUUUUCAUGAAAAUGUGGCACUGUAGGAAGUUUACAUUUUAGACUUUCUGUAUUUAGACAAUAUUUAUGACUUUGUCAUAAUUUAUUUGAGAAGUUUUCUCUGGAUGCCUCCUGUGUGUUAGGUAUUAUGCUA